rnacentral:rRNA from 1 species
AACGAACGCUGGCGGCAUGCCUAACACAUGCGAGUCGAACGAGACCUUCGGGUCUAGUGGCGCACGGGUGCGUAACGCGUGGGAACCUGCCCUUAGGUUCGGAAUAACUCCCCGAAAGGGGUGCUAAUACCGGAUAAUGUCUUCGGACCAAAGAUUUAUCGCCUUUGGAUGGGCCCGCGUUGGAUUAGCUAGUUGGUAGGGUAAAAGCCUACCAAGGCGACGAUCCAUAGCUGGUCUGAGAGGAUGAUCAGCCACACUGGGACUGAGACACGGCCCAGACUCCUACGGGAGGCAGCAGUGGGGAAUAUUGGACAAUGGGCGAAAGCCUGAUCCAGCAAUGCCGCGUGAGUGAUGAAGGCCUUAGGGUUGUAAAGCUCUUUUACCCGGGAUGAUAAUGACAUUACCGGGAGAAUAAGCGCCGGCUAACUCCGUG